rnacentral:rRNA from 1 species
AUGGCAGUUAAAACAUACUCCAAGUCGAAAAAGUGUAUUCGUAAAAAUACUUGGAAUAAACAGACUUAUUUUUCCAUAGUACAAUCUUAUUCUUUAAUAAAAUCACCAUCAUUUUCUAGUGGCAAUGAGCAUCGAAAACAAAAGUGUUUUCAUGGGCAAACAAAUAAUUAUGUUUUGGAAUAA